ensembl:processed_transcript RIKEN cDNA 2610307P16 gene
ACCGCUGCAAGGUAGCACUGGACAAAGCAUCAUCAACUUCUUCAUUUAGAAGUUUCUUCAGUUAAAUUGCUGGGAUUUUCGACAAGGCUUUCCUUAUGUGGAUUAUUGGAGUGUGAUGCCCGGAAAUUCUCUGCUUGUAGAAGCACCCCCACGUGACUGCAGAAGCCUUCACACCCAGCACGCUCAGAAAGUACUGUCUUAAACCUCACCAAUGUCAGUGGCGGCGGCGGCGGCAUCACCAUCACCAUCAGAGAAAAAGAAAUAUGCCUUUAUGUCAUGAUGGGAAUGAGUGAUGGCCAUCCAGUGACCAGCUGGAUCUGACUGCCUUACAAGACGCAUGUGUAUGAUUAAGAGAGAGACAUGCGUGACUCCCAGAUGUACCUCCUUCCUGCCCCACAGUGUUCCUGAAGGGAGUGAGUUAUGGGGUAACUUAUAACACAGCAGGCUCUUCCUCAAGAUAGCUCUUGUCAAAACAGGAAGACGAAACUCGGGUUUCAAUGAGGAGACCACAGCUUGGGAUCCUGUCUGGAUGUACAAGCAGAAACAUCUUCAUACUUUUCCAUUUCUAACCGUCAUGCCUCACCCCACCCUCCCAAGGCGACAUCUGCUGAGAGGUGGAACCAUCUCGGGAGGCUGAGCUCCGAGUGAGGAUGCAGAUGCUUUGACAUGGUCAGCUUCAGACUCGGGAUCUGUCGGUGUUAGCAGCUGAAGGGAGGAGGAGGAGGAGGAGAAAGUAAGACAGAGGGGGACAAGAGGAUCAAGAGGGCACGUGGCUGAGGAGGAGGAGAAC